GUGGUAUGAGUGGUCCUUUGACCUAUGGUGUCAUUGGCUAUUCGCAGCGAGGCUAUAGUAUUUGACUGCAUGUUUUCUUGGUCCUUAGCCAUUUGAAUCCUUACUGUGUAUGUUGGCUUCCGUAGGUUCAAGUUCACUGUUUGGAGUAGAAUGCACUUAGAUAGAAUCUAUCAAUCUUGGUAGAAAAGGAGAAGUCCUAUGCAAUUUAUGAGACUGAGUUCAGAAAGUCUUUAGCCAAAAUAAGUGUGAAUACUGAAAAAAAAAUUUCAUAAGAUUCACAAAUGAACUCGAGUCGAGCCAAUCUAGCAUAUGACUGACGAU
rnacentral:lncRNA from 1 species